GGAUGGGUCUGCGGCCGAUUAGGUAGUUGGUUAGGUAACGGCUCACCAAGCCGUUGAUCGGUACGGGUUGUGAGAGCAAGAGCCCGGAGAUGGAACCUGAGACAAGGUUCCAGGCCCUACGGGGUGCAGCAGGCGCGAAACCUCCGCAAUGUGAGAAAUCGCGACGGGGGGAUCCCAAGUGCCAUUCUUAACGGGAUGGCUUUUCAUUAGUGUAAAAAGCUUUUGGAAUAAGAGCUGGGCAAGACCGGUGCCAGCCGCCGCGGUAACACCGGCAGCUCUAGUGGUAGCAAUUUUUAUUGGGCCUAAAGCGUCCGUAGCCGGUUUAAUAAGUCUCUGGUGAAAUCCUGUAGCUUAACUGUGGGAAUUGCUGGAGAUACUAUUAGACUUGAGACCGGGAGAGGUUAGAGGUACUCCCAGGGUAGAGGUGAAAUUCUGUAAUCCUGGGAGGACCGCCUGUUGCGAAGGCGUCUAACUGGAACGGUUCUGACGGUGAGGGACGAAAGUUAGGGGCGCGAACCGGAUUAGAUACCCGGGUAGUCCUAACUGUAAACGAUGCGGACUUGGUGUUGGGGUGGCUUUGAGCUGCUCCAGUGCCGAAGGGAAGCUGUUAAGUCCGCCGCCUGGGAAGUACGGUCGCAAGACUGAAACUUAA
rnacentral:rRNA from 1 species